AUUAGCUAAUACAAAUCUUACAUAAGAAAAUUAUUAGUAUCCCCAUUUCAUAGAUGAAGAAACAAAGGCACAGAAAGGUAAAAUGAAUACGUUUGGUCAGAAGCAGAAGUUGACCACAUGAUGGAAAAUACAAUUAUUAGCUCUUCUCCCUCAUAGGAAGAAGCUACGUCGCUUUCUGCAAGUCUCUUAACUCUUAAGGAACCUACACUCCCAUCUCC